GUAUGAGUAUAGAUCAGAGGAGAUUUUAGUAUAUUAGGAAUAUCCAAAAAGUUGAGGGUUGGAGCCUUAGGUUCAUCUUCCAAAUUCACACAC
rnacentral:tRNA from 1 species